AGGACCGGAGUGGACGCAUCACUGGUGUUCGGGUUGUCAUGCCAAUGGCACUGCCCGGUAGCUAAAUGCGGAAGAGAUAAGUGCUGAAAGCAUCUAAGCACGAAACUUGCCCCGAGAUGAGUUCUCCCUGACUCCUUGAGAGUCCUGAAGGAACGUUGAAGACGACGACGUUGAUAGGCCGGGUGUGUAAGCGCAGCGAUGCGUUGAGCUAACCGGUACUAAUGAACCGUGAGGCUUAACCUUACAACGCCGAAGCUGUU
rnacentral:rRNA from 1 species